CUCAAUCGGCGUCCAUGUCAAUCUGCUCGAUGUCAACACGACGUCGCAGCUUCUUUUUUCGACCUGAAAUAUGCCCCGGCAGAUCGGAUCUUCCGGACCGGACCCUCCUGCGCCCCUCUCCCGGGACGGCUGCGACCUCUCCCGCCCGCUGCCCGCGGUCUCGGCGUACGGAGCGACCGCUCGCCGACCGCCCGCAAACAUCUCGGGGUGCGCGCCGGCCACGUUCUGACUCGAUGGGCCCCUCACUGCAGGACCCCCCCGUCCCUGCAGACGCGGUUGCCAUCGCAACAACGCUUCCUCCUAGUGCACGCCGCCGCCACUAAGCGCGCGACCAAAGGUCGAAGGAACAGCGCACCUGCGCAAGGGAACGUGCAGCACUGACCGUUGGAAGCGCUCCUUCGCGCCAGCUCGCUUCUCCCUCAGCGGGGCAAGUGAAGUGGCAGUCGGUGGAGAAGGAAGAUGAAAGAAAGCAGCUUCAAGAUCGAGAAGGUUCUUUCCCCAUGAGACUGAAAUGUAUGCAGUCACCUGUCCACAGAGGAGGUGAUCUUUGCAGGUCAUUGAUGAAGCAGCUGAAUGUGUUUGGGCCCAGGACACUAUCCAGAGGAGCUCUUGUAGUGAUGUCAUAAAGCUUUGAUGAUUAGUUUCCAACAAAUGCAACCAUCUUCUUUAGUAUGAGGUGUUUGUGAGUCUACCAAUAGACACAAGGGAAUAGAAAUGGAACAGGUCCAACUGCAGCUGAAUGAAUUUGCGUUACUGCAGAGCAUGUUCGCAACUAGCAGUGAACUAUUUGUCUAUGAUGUGAUAGAGCUUGUCUCAAUUUGUAAACUGGAAUGCUGAUUUUACUCUUCAAAUCUUGCAUUCUCUAGUAAUACCAUCUCUAAAGGUGAAAGUGUUAAUACUACUUUAGCUCUAUGUGUAGAAUGUUGUUAUCUCUUAGCUUACCUAAGCAAUUAACAAGCUGUGUCUAUUAGGCAUGGAAAGCUUGCUCAAAGAAACAUUUAGAACAAAAAAAAUGGUGAACUCUGUUUAACGAAUAUAUUGCAAUAUUUCUAGGAUCAUAUCUUUAAAUAUAUCAUAAUAGACACAGAUGCUUAUAAUGAGAACAGAAAGACGGCUGAGGGGCAAGAAAGUGAGAAUGCUGCCAAGUACAUAUUCUCUAGACACCUAAUUCAGAGCCAUGACAUAUAUGGCAAAGACAAAUGGUGAAAUAUUUUGGACUGGACAAGAGCGUUGUCCCUCACUAGAUAAUACGUUCCAGGAAAAUCAGGUUGCCUCUACACGUAGGAUCGCAAACAGGAUUGAAUGAUUGUGGUCUUAAAAGAUAUGUGGACAUUUUAAAAUUUGGUUAGAAAAAUAUCCUGAGAAACAAUAUCAGGUAUAGCCACACAUUCAUUCAGGUAGUGUUGUUAAAGCAUUCUUUCAGUUGAUCAAUUCAACCAGCUGUCAUACAUGACAAAUUAAAUCCAGUUCAUAGAUUUUUUUAAAAAAUUGAAUAAUCUUCAUAUUCCUAUUUCAUUUUAAGCAAACCAUAAACAUUAUGGGUGCCAACUACAAAAUAACCCUAUUUGAAAAAAAAAUUAGAUCCACACGUAUAAAUUUCAAUGCCUCUAACUUGUAAAAAUGACAGUGGGGUACUCUGAACGUUAUCAACCAACCGUUCCCCUCACCAUUGCAUUGGAGAUAAUGGCACUCUUUGUUUUUGUAAGGCAAAAAUCUUACAGCUCAGAAUAUUAAGACUCCUAUAUUUUCAUUUGUUGCUAAUUGUGGGAAUAUGUACAACCAGUGGGUUCAAAAAUUUAUAAGGUAAGUAAUCUGUCAGUAAUUCCUGAACUAUCCAUUUUAAUGUUUUAAACAACAUAGGAUAAAAUACUUCUUUAGUUAGGAUUUGUUAUUUUAAAUCAUUGGAAUCUAAAUCUGUCUACACUUUGAUCUGAUUCUUGGAGAGGAAACAUUCUCAAGAUGCUGACACUGACAUAAUUUUCCAAAACAACAUUUUUAACAUAGAAUAUUUAUUUUAUGUUUAUAUGUAGUGUAAAAUA